AGGGACGACAGAAGCGCAACUCCUCACCGACUAGGCGCUAGCAUCCCGCAGGCCCCGAAAGCUCUUCGGGCUGUUGGGAGACCCCUGCCCACGCUGGAGCCGGGUGUGGGGUUCAGGGAGGGCGUGAGAGUGGGUGGGUGGGGGUGGAGAGGGCGUGGGCCUAAGAGUGUCCUCCGGACUGUAGGGCUUCUUACCACCCUGCCCUCUCCGCCCCCUGCAUUUUUCUUACUACCCUGCCCUCCCCUCUUUGCUAAUAUUAUAUAGACCAACUGGCAAUGCAGAACAAGGUUGUGAUU
rnacentral:lncRNA from 1 species